rnacentral:rRNA from 1 species
UACGGGGGGGAGCAAGCGUUGUUCGGAAUUACUGGGCGUAAAGGGCUCGUAGGCGGCCAACUAAGUCCGACGUGAAAUCCCAAGGCUUAACCUUGGAACUGCGUCGGAUACUGGAUGGCUUGAAUUCGGGAGAGGGAUGCAGAAUUCCAGGUGUAGCGGUGAAAUGCGUAGAUAUCUGGAGGAAUACCGGUGGCGAAGGCGGCAUCCUGGACCGACAUUGACGCUGAGGAGCGAAAGCUAGGGGAGCAAACGGG